rnacentral:rRNA from 1 species
AUUGAACGCUGGCGGCAUGCUUUACACAUGCAAGCCGAACGGUAACAGGCCGCAAGGUGCUGACGAGUGGCGAACGGGUGAGUAAUGCAUCGGAACGUGCCCAGUCGUGGGGGAUAACUACUCGAAAGAGUAGCUAAUACCGCAUACGAUCUAUGGAUGAAAGCGGGGGACCGUAAGGCCUCGCGCGAUUGGAGCGGCCGAUGUCAGAUUAGGUAGUUGGUGGGGUAAAGGCUCACCAAGCCAACGAUCUGUAGCUGGUCUGAGAGGACGACCAGCCACACUGGGACUGAGACACGGCCCAGACUCCUACGGGAGGCAGCAGUGGGGAAUUUUGGACAAUGGGCGCAAGCCUGAUCCAGCAAUGCCGCGUGCAGGAAGAAGGCCUUCGGGUUGUAAACUGCUUUUGUACGGAACGAAACGGCUCUGGUUAAUACCCGGGGCUAAUGACGGUACCGGAAGAAUAAGCACCGGCUAACUACGUG